rnacentral:misc_RNA from 1 species
GCAUUUCACAGCAUCUUUCCUUUCAAGUUACCGAAAUUUCACGAAAACCUUCAAAAUGGAAUAGCAAAGCAAGGAAGUACUAAACAAGGAGGAAGGAGAAAGAAAGGAAGGGAAGGGAAGGGAAGGUGAGAUCAAGGGAGUGUGGGUCAGAAUUCAGAAACAGCUACACGUUGUGAAGAGGAGGCAAUUGCAUGUGCCCACAUGGCCUAUCGCAGCUGGAGAGAUGAACAACUCCACACUCACCCUCCUUAAAUACGCAAUUAACCAUCUUUCCAGCUUUUACAUUUCCCUGCAUCUUCUUUCUUUUUCUUUCUGUCGGCUUUUCUGCUCGUACGACAUCUGAAUACUGAAUAUUAGCAUCACCAAGCACUCCCUCUCUAUACCCACAAAUCAUUUUUGCAAUAAUGAAGGAAAACAGUGAUGGGUUUGUUAGGGCGGAUCAGAUUGAUCUCAAAAGUCUUGAUGAGCAACUCGAGAGGCAUCUCAAUAAGGUACGGGCCAUGGACAAGAAUAAGAAACCCGAUGAUGGUCGUCUCUCAUCAGUGGCUGCUGCUGCUACCGCCGACUCUACCAAGACUAUUGCGCCUACCUUCAGGAAGGACAGGCAGGCAUGGGAGAUCGACCCUUCUAAGCUCAUCAUCAAGACUGUCAUUGCACGGGGCACCUUCGGCACCGUUCACCGUGGCAUCUACGAUGGCCAGGAUGUUGCCGUUAAGCUGCUUGAUUGGGGUGAAGAGGGCCACCGGACAGAAGCUGAGAUUGCCGCACUAAGGGCAGCUUUUUCCCAAGAAGUUGCUGUUUGGCAUAAACUUGAUCAUCCUAAUGUUACUAAGUUUAUAGGGGCAACAAUGGGCUCAGCAGAGCUGCAGAUACAAACUGAAAAUGGCCAAAUUGGGAUGCCAAGUAAUAUAUGUUGUGUUGUUGUGGAAUAUCUACCUGGAGGUGCUCUAAAAUCUUACCUUAUAAAGAACAGACGAAGGAAGCUAGCUUUCAAAGUUGUUGUGGAGUUGGCACUUGAUCUUGCCAGAGGGUUAAGUUACCUUCAUUCCCAGAAAAUUGUUCACAGAGAUGUAAAGACAGAAAACAUGUUAUUGGACAAGACACGCACUGUAAAAAUUGCUGACUUUGGAGUUGCACGAGUUGAGGCUUCAAAUCCUAAUGAUAUGACUGGGGAGACAGGAACACUAGGCUACAUGGCUCCUGAGGUUCUGAAUGGCAAUCCAUAUAAUAGGAAGUGUGAUGUGUACAGUUUUGGCAUCUGUUUAUGGGAGAUAUAUUGCUGUGACAUGCCAUAUGCUGACCUUAGUUUCUCGGAAGUGACUUCAGCUGUGGUCCGUCAGAAUUUGAGACCAGAAAUACCAAGGUGUUGCCCAAGCUCUCUAGCGAAUGUAAUGAAGAGGUGCUGGGAUGCUAACCCUGACAAGCGCCCUGAAAUGGACGAGGUUGUCUCCAUGUUGGAGGCCAUUGACAUAUCAAAAGGUGGGGGUAUGAUCCCUCCUGAUCAACAGGGUGGUUGUCUCUGCUUCUGCAGGUAUAGAGGACCUUGAAGGGUUACUUCCUUUUGUCAGACAAACGACUAGAAUAUGAUUGUUUUGAGCUAUAGUAAUCGAAACCGUGAUUAACAUUGAAGGUAAAGGAGAUUUUUAAUAUAAAAUGGGGAAGAAUGGAUGGUGGUGCAUAUAGGAUGGGAGAUGUAUCAAAUUUCCCAUUAUUGGUUGACGUAUAUCUGUUGUUUUGUUACUCUUUUUUCUUCAAUAUUUUUUGGGAGGUUUUUGAGUGUGUAUUUAUUUGGUUUGCCAGUCUCGUCAACUGGCAUAACCAGCUCAAACGCAUAUAGGGUCUGCUAUUAGUGGAUAUUAUUGGUUAACGUUGUCAAGGUAAUCAAAUAUUAUUACCAACAUUCACUUGGUGUAUAUCCUGUCUUUAUUUACGUAAUGGCUCCCUGUAUUUUGACCAAGUUUUAGCAUUAAGAGUUAAUGGAGUGACAACAGUGGGAAAUGAAAUAAGAGAUACAUGAAGCAAUGUUGUAUUCCAUUCUUUCCUAUCAUAAAGAAAUGUACAAUGAAGUUGAACCUUUGCAAUACUGGUAUAGAUUUUGAUGUUCUGGGCAGAUGAUACAGAUGACAAGCUACAAAAUGGAGAUCAAACUGAGGAAAGUUGAACUUCAGGUUUAUUUCUGGGAUCAUCGUCAUCGUUCCAUUGAGUAGUCUUACGGUAUUUUGCAUAGAGUAUGAUCU